GAGGUAUCGUAAUUGAAGAGGUUUGGAAAGACCCACCACAGAAGGUAAUAGUCCUGUAUGUUAAACGAGAAGACUUCAGAUAUGAUCCAGAGUACCACGGGACACGUGAAACCCUGUGGGAAGCAGGAGGGACCACCCUCCAAGGCUAAAUACUACCUAGUGACCGAUAGCGUAUAGUACCGUGAGGGAAAGGUGAAAAGAACCCCGGGAGGGGAGUGAAAUAGAACCUGAAACCCUGCACUUACAAGCUGUGGAAGCACAUUUCUUGUGUGACCGCGUACUUUUUGUAGAACGGGCCAACGAGUUACGUUAAGUAGCAAGGUUAAGCACUUAAGGUGCGGAGCCGUAGCGAAAGCGAGUUUUAACUGAGCGUUCAGUUACUUGACGUAGACCCGAAACCGGGCGACCUACCCAUGAGCAGGAUGAAGCGAAAGUAAAAUUUCGUGGAGGUCCGAACCCACGAGCGUUGAAAAGCUCGGGGAUGACUUGUGGGUAGCGGUGAAAUUCCAAUCGAGCCCGGAGAUAGCUGGUUCUCCCCGAAAUAGCUUUAGGGCUAGCCUCAAGGUGAGAGAUACGGAGGUAGAGCACUGAAUGUCCUAGGGGGUAUUGCACCUACCGAAGACUAUCAAACUCCGAAUGCCGUCAUCUUAUACUUGGGAGUCAGACUGUGGGUGAUAAGAUUCAUAGUCGAAAGGGCAACAGCCCAGAUCGUCAGCUAAGGUCCCUAAAUGUAAGUUAAGUGGUAAAGGAUGUGGGAUUGCACAGACAACCAGGAUGUUGGCUUAGAAGCAGCCACUCAUUCAAAGAGUGCGUAAUAGCUCACUGGUCGAGUGAUCCUGCGCCGAAGAUUUCCGGGGCUAAAACUUACUACCGAAGCUACGGCAUCAGUAAUGAUGGGUAGGGGAGCUUCCCAUACGGGUUGAAGCAUGACCGUAAGGACAUGUGGACAGUAUGGGAGUGAGAAUGUUGGCAUGAGUAGCGAGAUGUGGGUGAGAAUCCCACAGGCCGUAAACCCAAGGUUUCCAGGGGAAGGUUCGUCCGCCCUGGGUUAGUCGGGACCUAAGCUGAGGCCGAAAGGCGUAGGUGAUGGACAACAGGUUGAUAUUCCUGUACUACCGAUAACCGUUUGAGAGAAGGGAUGACACAGUAGGAUAAGCUAAGCACACUGUUGGUUAUGUGUGCCCAAGCAUUGAGGCAGUCAAAGUAGGCAAAUCCGCUUUGAUAAUGCUGGGAUGUGAUGGGGAGCGAAAUUUAGUAGCGAAGUAGCUGAUUUCACACUGUCAAGAAAAGUCUCUAUCGAGGUUAAAGGUACCCGUACCGCAAACCGACACAGGUGGGUGAGGAGAGUAUCCUAAGGCCAGCGAGAGAACUGUUGUUAAGGAACUCGGCAAAAUGACCCCGUAACUUAGGGAUAAGGGGUGCCACCAUCAGGUGGCCGCAGAGAAUAGGCCCAAGCGACUGUUUACCAAAAACAUAGGUUUCUGCUAAGUCGCAAGACGAUGUAUAGGAGCUGACGCCUGCCCGGUGCUGGAAGGUUAAGGGGAUCUGUUAGAGCAAUCGAAGCAGUGAACUUAAGCCCCAGUAAACGGCGGCCGUAACUAUAACGGUCCUAAGGUAGCGAAAUUCCUUGUCGGGUAAGUUCCGACCCGCACGAAAGGCGUAACGAUUUGGGCACUGUCUCAACAACAGACUCGGUGAAAUUGUAAUUCCGGUGAAGAUGCCGGAUACCUGCGACAGGACGGAAAGACCCCAUGGAGCUUUACUGUAGCUUGACAUUGGGUCUUGGUACUACAUGUACAGGAUAGGUGGGAGGCUUUGAAACCAGGACGCCAGUUUUGGCGGAGCCAUCCUUGGGAUACCACCCUUGUAGUACUGGGACUCUAACCAUAGGCCAUGAAUCUGGUCUUGGGACACUGUCAGGUGGGCAGUUUGACUGGGGCGGUCGCCUCCCAAAAGGUAACGGAGGCGCUCAAAGGUUCUCUCAGUACGGUCGGAAAUCGUACGUAGAGUGUAAAGGCAAAAGAGAGCUUGAUUGCAAGACAUACAGGUCGAGCAAGGAUGAAAAUCGGACUUAGUGAUCCGGUGGUUCUGCGUGGAAGGGCCAUCGCUCAACGGAUAAAAGCUACCCUGGGGAUAACAGGCUUAUCUCCCCCAAGAGUCCACAUCGACGGGGAGGUUUGGCACCUCGAUGUCGGCUCAUCACAUCCUGGGGCUGUAGUAGGUCCCAAGGGUUGGGCUGUUCGCCCAUUAAAGUGGUACGCGAGCUGGGUUCAGAACGUCGUGAGACAGUUCGGUCCCUAUCCGUCGCAGGCGUAGGAAAUUUGAGAAGACCUGUCCUUAGUACGAGAGGACCGGGAUGGACGUACCUCUGGUGUACCAGUUGUCCUGCCAAGGGCAUGGCUGGGUAGCUAUGUACGGAAUGGAUAAGCGCUGAAAGCAUCUAAGCGCGAAGCCAACUUCAAGAUAAGAUUUCCCACCGCAAGGGUAAGACCCCAGAAAGACUAUCUGGUUGAUAGGUCGAAGGUGUAAGUGCAGCAAUGUAUUUAGCUUAUCGAUACUAAUAGGUCGAGGACUUGACCAA
rnacentral:rRNA from 1 species